rnacentral:rRNA from 1 species
AAUCAACGCUGGCGGCGUGCCUAACACAUGCAAGUCGAACGAGAAAGUGGAGCAAUCCAUGAGUACAGUGGCGACCGGGUGAGUAACACGUGACCAACCUGCCCUCGAGUGGGGAAUAACUCCGGGAAACCGGAGCUAAUACCGCAUAACAUCUUCGGAAUGCGAAUUCUGUGGAUCAAAGGAGCAAUCCGCUUGAGGAG